GCAUCAGUUGUGCAGCUGGUUAGCACACGCUCCUGGAAAAGGUGAGAUGCGGGUUCGAUUUUCAUCUGAUGUU